AGCUUUGUAGUGUUUAGGCACGUCCGACUGCAAACCGGAAAGCGCAGGCUCACACCUGACUUAGCUU
rnacentral:tRNA from 1 species